AGAACGAACGCUGGCGGCAUGCCUAAUACAUGCAAGUCGAACGAACACUUCGGUGUUAGUGGCGCACGGGUGCGUAACGCGUGGGAAUCUGCCCUUGGGUUCGGAAUAACAGUUGGAAACGACUGCUAAUACCGGAUGAUAUCGAAAGAUCAAAGUAUUUAUCCGCCCGAGGGAUGACGCCCGCGUAGGAUUAGC
rnacentral:rRNA from 1 species